rnacentral:lncRNA from 1 species
UAUCCAGUCAGAGAUGGAGACUAUUAUCCAAUAAGAGUUGUCAAAAAAGUUCCUUCUCAUCCAAUCAGAACCAAGCUUCCAAGAUACCGCGGUUGCGUACAGCCGUUAUAAAAGGGAGGCGAAGGCCCACUCCGCCAUUUUCUUUUCGUGGAGGCUGGUCUCUAGUCGUCUGGGCUGCGGUCUUCAUGGACCGGAAGCGUGUGCGGAGCGCCUGCCUCGAGGCCAGCAUCAGGGAAGGGUGUUCCAGGUGAAGGCGAAGCUUCCUUCACGUGUUCUUGGAGGACUUUCCGCUUGCAAGCGCUUCUCCAUUCUCCUAAGAUCUGGGGCCUGUGUGGAAGGAAGAAACCUUCUGAUGGCUUUGGCCCGGGAAUAUGGCGGUUCCAAGCACAAUGCUAUACUGAAAUGGUACCAGAAGACAGAAGGUUAUAUGGGCUCAAGGUGUGAGUGGUCUGAGGCCCGUCAGCGACCCCUGUGCCUCAGUGGGAGAUCGAGUGUCUCCCAUCCCAUGUGGCCACUUGAUCUGCUGAAUUCUGAGUCAGGCCAGGAAUAUGGAUCUAACUCCGCUGGCUACAGAGUUGGAGAGGGUUUUCAAGCCAUGGUGGCAGGUGGUCUCUCAGCCAGAACUGUGGUUCUGGAGGACACAAGGAAACCCACAACUCCUGAACCAUGA